ACUCAAAUGAAUUGACGGGGGCCCGCACAAGCAGCGGAGCGUGUGGUUUAAUUCGAGGCUACACGAAGAACCUUACCUGGUCUUGACAUGGACGCGAACGAAGCUGAAAGGCGGAGGUCCGCAAGGCGCGUUCACAGGUGCUGCAUGGCUGUCGUCAGCUCGUGCCGUGAGGUGUUAGGUUAAGUCCUGUAACGAGCGCAACCCCCGGAGCCAGUUACAUGUGUCUGGCUCGACUGCCCGUGACAAGCGGGAGGAAGGUGGGGACGACGUCAAGUCAGCAUGGCCUUUAUGACCAGGGCUACACACACGCUACAAUGGCCGAUACAAUGGGUCGCCAAGCCGCAAGGCGGAGCCAAUCCAGUCAAAGUCGGUCACAGUUCGGAUUGUGGGCUGCAACCCGCCCACAUGAAGUUGGAGUUGCUAGUAACCGCGCAUCAGCUAUGGUGCGGUGAAUACGUUCCCGGGCCUUGCACACACCGCCCGU
rnacentral:rRNA from 1 species